CUUGUGGUGUUCAUGGAAUCAG
rnacentral:siRNA from 1 species